UGAUCCUGGCUCAGAACGAACGCUGGCGGCAGGCCUUAUACAUGCAAGUCGAGCGCAUCCUUCGGGAUGAGCGGCGGACGGGUGAGUAACGCGUGGGAAUGUGCCCUUCUCUACGGAAUAGCCACUGGAAACGGUGAGUAAUACCGUAUACGCCCUUAGGGGGAAAGAUUUAUCGGAGAAGGAUCAGCCCGCGUUAGAUUAGGUAGUUGGUGGGGUAACGGCCUACCAAGCCUACGAUCUAUAGCUGGUUUUAGAGGAUGAUCAGCCACACUGGGACUGAGACACGGCCCAGACUCCUACGGGAGGCAGCAGUAGGGAAUCUUGGACAAUGGGGGAAACCCUGAUCCAGCCAUGCCGCGUGAGUGAAGAAGGCCUUAGGGUCGUAAAGCUCUUUCGCCUGUGAUGAUAAUGACAGUAGCAGGUAAAGAAACCCCGGCUAACUCCGUGCCAGCAGCCGCGGUAAUACGGAGGGGGUUAGCGUUGUUCGGAAUUACUGGGCGUAAAGCGCGCGUAGGCGGAUUGGAAAGUUGGGGGUGAAAUCCCGGGGCUCAACCCCGGAACUGCCUCCAAAACUGCCAGUCUAGAGUUCGAGAGAGGUGAGUGGAACUCCAAGUGUAGAGGUGAAAUUCGUAGAUAUUUGGAAGAACACCAGUGGCGAAGGCGGCUCACUGGCUCGAUACUGACGCUGAGGUGCGAAAGUGUGGGGAGCAAACAGGAUUAGAUACCCUGGUAGU
rnacentral:rRNA from 1 species